GUUAAAUUGUAUUUUUAACCUUUUUUUUCAAGACAACGCAACGGAUCAUUUUUUGUUAGAAAAGUACGAAAUUGAACUCCGAUUGAAUCAGAAACCCUAGAAUUUUGUGACCGGCGAAGAAGAAGAUUGAGAGAUGAAGAGAGUUUUCGGCAUUAAGAAGGAAACACAACCUGCUCCGUCUGUUCAAGAUGCUUCCGAUAGGAUCAAUAAAAGAGGUGAGUCAGUGGAAGAGAAAAUCAAGAAGCUUGAUGCUGAACUUGCAAGGUACAAGGAACAGCUAAAGAAGACUCGACCAGGUCCAGCUCAGGAGGCAGUAAAAGCUCGAGCUAUGAGAGUGUUGAAGCAAAAGAGAAUGUAUGAAGGUCAGCGAGACAUGCUCUACAAUCAGACAUACAACUUAGACCAAGUCUCGUUUGCUGCUGAGGGGAUCAAAGAUGCUCAGCAAACAAUGGCAGCAAUGAAGUCAGCGAACAAAGAAUUAAAAGGAAUGAUGAAAACUGUGAGCAUUCAAGACGUAGAUAACCUACAAGAUGAAAUGACAGACCUGAUGGAUGUAAGCAAUGAAAUUCAAGAGACUCUUGGUAGAAGCUACGGUGUGCCUGAUGACGUUGAUGAAGAAGAGCUCAUGGGCGAGCUUGAUGCUCUGGAAGCGGACAUGGAGUUUGAAGAAGGUGUUCCUUCAUACCUACAACCUGACAAGGAACCAGAUCUGGAUUCAGAGCUUAACAUGCCAUCAGCACCAAUGGGACACGCGUCAAUGCCAGCUGGUAGAGCUAAUCCUCAGGCUGAAGAUGAACUAGGCUUACCUGCUGUCCCUCGGGCAUCACUUCGCGGUUAAGAGUGUUUUGGGGUUGAAACAUUAUGUGCAGAGAGUUUUGGUUUCUUAAACCUUGAUGCUGCUUAUUACUACUUCCAGAGAAGUAAGGUUGAUUUGUAACAAUAAUGAAUCGAUUUUUUAUUAAUGAUUUUGUAUGCUCAUUAUAGAAUCUUAU
rnacentral:misc_RNA from 1 species